GCUAAUUUUCCGCAUUACUAAACAAGUUCUAUAAAAGGCAAUACACCCAAAGGGUUUAAAUCAAUUCUAAGUGGCAUUAGUAAUGCGUCUGUGCCUCAUUUGCAGCGUUUAUUCCGCACCACAAUACACUAAAGAUCCCUUCUCUCAUGAAGAUGGAUUCUGGGGUUGAAGUGAAGUUGCUUCAUAAUUUAAAGUACGAAAUUAAUUUGAUAGAAGAGCUGUUAUUUUUUAUACUUAAAGUGCGUAAUAAACACAUGUUAGUUUUGUAA